UAGGUUGAUAAAAUGAUUAUUGAAUAAUGCCUGGCUUAACAAAUAUUACAGUCACUGUAAAUGAAACCACAUUAGGUAGAUAACUUUAUUAUAGCAGACAAAAAUCUCUAACUAAGUAGGAUUUUUAAAACAUGUGAUUAUAAUAACUCCAAAAUAAAUGAAAUUUGAUACAGUAUAAAAACAUCUCUGCGUGACAGGCAUUCAAUCCAGUUUCCACCAUCGCCCCCUGGUGACAUAAAUCCAUUAGUAGAUGAUAUGACAAUUUGUACAUACUGUGAAUGUACUUUACCGGCAACAAACAGCAACAAAUCCAGAAUAUGUUAUUAAUAUUUCUGCAUCAUAUCAUCUACUAAU
rnacentral:sRNA from 1 species